CUCUAUGAAGGAAAAUCUGUAAGGAAUAUUUGCUGAGGAUGGAUUGGGAUCUGGGAGCUGAGAAAUCCAAUUCUAACUUCAUUUACUGCAAUUCUCUGACAAAAGGAGCUCACGGCGAUUUAUGGCUGAAGUCCCAGGUAAGAUCUCUCUGUGGCAAAAAAAAAUAAAAUCGCUCGUCCCAGCGUCCCCAUCGCACCCGACCUAAGGCCAUCACGAGGAAGGUAAAUCAUAGCAUCCUGAGCGAACAUGUGAUAAGUGGGAUAAAUUACACAGAGACCGAGGAUUUACGAUCCCGACAUAGAUCUCUCUGGUAUCUUCAUCACACAGUUAAUUUUCAAUGUUUACUUUUUUCUAAUUAAACGAUAGUAUGAGACAAUAAUUUAUGCUGUUUCUUGUGAAUUUAUAUCUUUAUACUCUGCAUGGGUUGCAUACAGCAUUUAAAUUACACAGAAGCAGUUUUGUUUGAUUCCUUUGGAUGUUAAUGCGCUACUAACUUCCAA